UACGUAGGGGGCAAGCGUUGUCCGGAUUUAUUGGGCGUAAGGAGCGUGUAGGCGGCCAAGUAAGUCUGCUGUGAAAACUCGAGGCUUAACCUCGAGCUGUCGGCGGAAACUAUUUGGCUAGAGUCCGGAAGAGGAGAAUGGAAUUCCCGGUGUAGCGGUGAAAUGCGCAGAUAUCGGGAAGAACACCCGUGGCGAAGGCGGUUCUCUGGGACGGUACUGACGCUGAGACGCGAAAGCGUGGGGAGCGAACAGG
rnacentral:rRNA from 1 species